UGGGGAAUAUUGCACAAUGGGCGAAAGCCUGAUGCAGCAACGCCGCGUGAGUGAUGAAGGCCUUCGGGUUGUAAAGCUCUGUCUUUUGGGACGAUAAUGACGGUACCAAAGGAGGAAGCCACGGCUAACUACGUGCCAGCAGCCGCGGUAAUACGUAGGUGGCAAGCGUUGUCCGGAUUUACUGGGCGUAAAGGAUGCGUAGGCGGAUUUUUAAGUGAGAUGUGAAAACCCUAAGCUUAACUUGGGGACUGCAUUUCAUACUGGAAAAUCUAGAGUGCGGGAGAGGAGAAUGGAAUUCCUAGUGUAGCGGUGAAAUGCGUAGAGAUUAGGAAGAACACCAGUGGCGAAGGCGAUUCUCUGGACUGUAACUGACGCCGAGGCAUGAAAAGCGUGGGUAGCAAAACAGGAUUAGAUACCCUGGUAGUCCACGCCGUAAAACGAUGAGUACUAGGUGUAGGAGGUAUCGACCCCUUCUGUGCCGCAGUUAACACAAAUAAGUACUCCGCCUGGGAAGUACGAUCGC
rnacentral:rRNA from 1 species